rnacentral:lncRNA from 1 species
UAAACUGAAAAUCAACAAUAGUCAAUUUGGAAUUUAAAAAAAAUAUUCCAAAAGUCCAUUUACUUAACAAAAAUCCAUAAACUUACAAAGCACUUCUAAAUAUAGCAAUAUGUCUAGAAAAGGGAACAAUUAAGGUGGGGGGGGGGGGGAUAUUCUUGCUAACUCUAAAUAUUCCAGAAACUCUUUGAAUCAGCUUCAGUUUUGCAAGAAAAAUUAGUUAUGGAGCUGUUCAUUACAAGCAAAAACAUAGCUCCAACUCUGAGGCUUCCUACUAACAAACUUGUCCUGGUUUCAACUUAGACUUUUCAUGAAUCUGACCAUGUUUAAAGGUCAGAUUCAUGAAAAUGUCUUCAGAUUAUAAACCUACUAUAUUAUCAAAUCAAACUCAAACAAAUAAUGCAAAGACAAAAGAAACAAAAAUAGUGUGACUCAUGGAUUUGACCAUAUUAAGGGUUAAACUCAAUGAAUACACAAAGCUUCAAAUAUAGGGAUCUAGCAUGCUACAUGACUAAUGCAACAAAAGAUGAGUUUAUACUAACUGAAGAAAACAGUUGACCAAUGCUAGACUCAUACAGGGAAACAAAUUUUCAUGGCAUAGACCAAAUAGACAAAGAAUCACUUAUUUAACGGAAGAUCUUCCGUAUUGUUGCAACUUCAGUGACAAAUCAUAGCAAGAAAAUACAUACAUAUAUAUAUAUAUAUAUAUAUAUAUAUAUAUAUAUAUAUAAAAUAUAAAUAUAAAUGGCAUGACUUAUCUUUAAAAUCUAUUUACAGACACUUAAACAUGGAAGAACAUGUGUACCUUAAACAACAAUAGAAAAACAACAAGUAAGAUGAAAAAAAACUGCUGAAAACUUGAGAAGAAAGGAAACAACUACAAACCAACACAGCUCCAGCAAAUCAAAUAGGUCCCAGAAUUUGAACCAAACUCAAUCAUCUUUCAAACCAGAAUCCCAGCUAAACAACCCCAGGAAAACCUCUUUUUCAAACCAUUUUUAGCUUGUGAAAAUCAAAAGGAAGAAGUUUUGCAAUUUUCUAAGAUUUCUGAAAUCUAGUCUUUUUCAAAAAGAAGAGAGAACUUUUUUGUAGUAAAAAUGAUGCUGAAAAAAUCUUCCUUAUGAAUGAGGGUAAUGUUUCAUUUUAUAGAAUGCACAAAAAGGCAUCGAAAGAGCAUAUUCUAACCUAAAAUUAUGAGUUUUUCAGGAUAAUACAAGAUAUUUU